AUCUCAUAAGUUCCAUUUCUUUCAAGAAAAGUCUAGAAAAUAAAAGAAGAGAAGAAGAGAAGCUCUAGACUAGAGAGAAAGACCUAUGGAUUUGGAGGAGAAAAGAGCACCAAAAUGUCACCAAGCAGUCUCAAAGUUCUAGCCGCGCUAGGAGAGCUUCUAAGGCAAGUUUCGACGAGUUUGACGAGUUUUGGGCAAGAAAAACAAGUUGGACGCAUAAGCGUAGCUAGUAAGGCGCGGCACAGGUAUGUAAAGCUAACUGUUCCUUCUUUUGGCAUGUAUUUGGCAUAAGUAUGUAAGGCUUACCCUUUUCUUUCAAGGCAUGAUUCCGAUGUUAUGGUUUCAUAAGUGCUUCCAUAUUUUCUUUGUUUUCAAAAGCUAGGUGUCAAUGGUCCCAAGGAAAUGACUUCUUAUAACCCGUCAAUGUUUUCCAAAAUAUCUAUAGUUUCCCAAAACAAAGGUUUACCCUUCUUUCUCUUGGCAUGUUUUGACAUAAGUAUAUAGAACUACUCUUUCUUUUGGCAUGGGUUUUUAUGAAACAAGUAUAUGACAUUUUAUACAAUUUCAAGGAAGUCCUAUUCGUAGAGCCACUAGGAUGGCCAAUUUUCUUGAGUUUCCAAAGGAUAUUUUCUCGUGCUUAGAUAUGUGUAUAUGAUUCCAAAAGUUUUAUUGUGAUAUAAUCCAUGGAAAUUUUCGAAAGGUACUUGACAUGACUCUUGUCCUGAUUUUUAAAUCAUAGCUCAUUCUGAUUAUUCUACGAGUCUUGAAAAUUAGUCCUAUGUGCAUAUGUAUACAAUUUGGCGCCUUACAAGAUUGUGACCUUAUUCUACGUUCUCUUAAUAGUAUCCUUCGUUGAUAGUCUCAUCUUAUAAUAAUUGUUCCUUCAAGGUGAGACAAAGCGACCAUGGUUAGUCUAUAAUAUAAUCGGAGGUUACCGACCUUCCGUCACUCCGAUAAAUACACGACUUUCAUUGGGCUCUCGUGCAUGUUGUCUAUAUGUAUAUGUAUAUGUAUAUGGGGGAUAUGGGGAGGUGUAUAUGUGGCGCUAUAGGCGCAUUCCCACCUGAUCAGUUGGAGUAAUUUUCAUCCCGGACGCGGGACAUAUGUGGGCGAGCCGACGUUGUUCGGUGAUAUGACUUUUAUUUUCUAUGUAUAUGAAAAAGAAAUGUUUAUAAAGAUAAGACAAGCAUGCAUGGCAUCCGGCCUAAAAGGCACUCAUAUGUACAGGUUGCUUCUCUACCUCAUGAUAUAUUCUAUAUUUCUAUUAUGUUAUUAUUCAUAUUUAUAUUCCUUACUAUGUUACUAUUCAUGCCUUACAUACUCAGUACAAAGCUCGUACUGACCCCUUUUUUCUUCGGAGGCUGCGUUUCAUGCCGCGCAGGUACACUCAGAUGAGUAGAAGCUAUUGUAGAAGAUGUUCCAGCGGGGUUAGAAACUCCACUUGUUCUGGAGUGCUGCCGAGUCAGAGUUUAUGCGCUAUGAUGUUUCAUUCGAAGUUAGAGACUUUGCAGACAGAGUCGUGGGUAUAGAGUGUCAGCUUUGUAAGUGGUGUCACCAGCCGAUAGGUUAUUAUGUCAUACGUCACGAGUUUUAUGGGAUGAUAGAUUUUGGAGAAAAAAAAGAUUCGAGAAGCUUAGCUAUAGUUUUCAUUUCUUAUUGAUGUAAAAAUCUAAAGAGAUUAAGUAUGUACUAUGAAGCAGCGGGUUCGCUCGGCUCCAAGCAUGGGAUCGGGUGCCCAUCACACCCUAUUAAUAUCGGGGUGUGAAAAAAUUAAUAAGAUAAAUGAAUGUCUAAAGGUUACAUAAGUUUAAAAAAAAUGGCACUAAUGGCCACAU